AUUGAACGCUAGCGGGAUGCCUUACACAUGCAAGUCGAACGGCAGCGCGGACUUCGGUCUGGCGGCGAGUGGCGAACGGGUGAGUAAUGUAUCGGAACGUGCCCAGUAGCGGGGGAUAACUACUCGAAAGAGUAGCUAAUACCGCAUACGCCCUACGGGGGAAAGGGGGGGAUCGCAAGACCUCUCACUAUUGGGGCGGCCGAUAUCGGAUUAGCUAGUUGGUGAGGUAAAGGCUCACCAAGGCGACGAUCCGUAGCUGGUUUGAGAGGACGACCAGCCACACUGGGACUGAGACACGGCCCAGACUCCUACGGGAGGCAGCAGUGGGGAAUUUUGGACAAUGGGGGAAACCCUGAUCCAGCCAUUCCGCGUGUGCGAUGAAGGCCUUCGGGUUGUAAAGCACUUUUGGCAGGAAAGAAAUCGCAUCAAUUAAUACUUGGUGUGGAUGACGGUACCUGCAGAAUAAGCACCGGCUAACUACGUGCCAGCAGCCGCAGUAA
rnacentral:rRNA from 1 species